AAGUACAGGACUCAGCUCUGUAAUUCUGCAAGAGUAUUCCAUAGGUCCAAAAAUCCAUUUAAUAUAUUGUCCUAGGAUAGAGGACAUAUCAGAUAUUAAACUGAUAAGAACGGAUACUACAUUUGAUCUUAGCCAAAGGGAGAUGGAAU
rnacentral:snRNA from 1 species